rnacentral:rRNA from 1 species
UAGCACAGAGGAGCUUUGCUCCUUGGGUGACGAGUGGCGGACCGGGUGGAGUAAUGUCUGGGGGAUCUGCCCGGAUAGAGGGGGUAUAACCACUGGAAACGGUGGCUAAAUACCGGCAUAACGUCGCAACGACCAAAGGAGGGGGACCUUCGGGCCUCUCACUAUCGGAUGAACCCAGAUGGGGUUAGCUAGUAGGCGGGGUAAUGGCCCACCUAGGCGACGAUCCCUAGCUGGUCUGAGAGGAUGACCAGCCACACUGGAACUGAGACACGGUCCAGACUCC